AUGUGGGUGGCUGUAAUGGCAGCCUGUAGGUUUGUAUGGAAAACAAGUAUGGCACAGUGAAAAAAAUCCUUCUUUCACCCUACAGAUACCUGUACGGAGAGCUUGGGAGGCAUUUCCAUAGGCUCAUUGUCAAGUGAAAGUUAAAGCCCCCACUCACUGGGAAGCAAAGGGUGAAGAAAUAAGACACUACAUGGCUCUGCUUUUUAGUGCGUGGAUCAGAGACACAUCUAUGAACAGCUGCCUACGCAAGUUGAUUACUGGGCAAUAUAAUUUCUCAGUUUUUAUGGGUAAAUGAGUGCUUCUCGCCAUGGACCUAGCUUGUGCAUCAAUUUAGUUCCAUUAGCUUGCUUUGGAUUCAUGGGAAUUCUGAACAGAGACGUGAGAAUGACUUCAAUUUGAGGUAUCUGUUAAAUGCAGCAACAUGACAUCACAAGGAUUGUUUUGGAGUCUUCUGGAUAUGAGAGAUAUUAAAAAAGUGAAAUAGUAGGACUGAAGUAUGAGGGGAGAAAUAGAGAAAACCAUGGUUUUCAUACUCUCUUUUUGGAGAAUAAUUUAUUUGUUGGUUUGUUUGUCAGAAAUGGGAUUAUUUGAAGAGACCAACACAGGGAGGAAUGGACUGAGAAAUGAAUAGGAAACUCAGUGGGUUGGAGAGUACUUAAAUGCCGUGGGCCUUUAAGGAAAUUCUACUGAAAUCAAUAUAACUAAGGAGACAGGAAGGAAGCCAAGACAAGAGAGUGAAGAUUCUGAAGUAAAUGGGUACUUGCUUUGACCAAGAUCGAAAGCCACCUCUCCCCAGAGAAUAUUAGAAGAGGGCAUGGAAGACAAGCAUUGGAAAAGUAGAAUGUUUGUGCUUUUCUUUCUGGUGAACUGCAUUAAAAAUUCAGCAAAAGGGGGGAUCAGUUUACAUUACUCUUCUUGUUUCGCAUGUAUCAACUGACAGGUGCUGUAAACAUACAUAGACAAACAUGGUCCUAUGCUUGCAGUGCUCCAGUGACUGCGGAAGGCAGUAUGUAAUCUCCCAAGGUGAUCACACAGAGGAAUGUGCAGACACACUAUGCUGAGAUUGAAGAAGAGGCCAUAAAUAUUCUCUUUCCCAUAAAACUACAGGAGCUCGCCUUUGAACUUUGAUUCUCCAGAAAAUCCAGUCAGAGAGACGGUUUUGUUCUGACAAUAAGUUACUGAGGUCCAGAAGUCUUCUUUUGAUUCUGAAGACUUGACUGAAACCUUACUAGUACUUCUGAAAUAACAGCAGAAGGAGCCCAGGAGGCCCCUCGGUCUUCUGUAUGUCUUGCUUUGCUGGAGGUAAACCGCUGAUCCACACGCCUUUGAUUUCACUAAGGGUAGAACCUCAGCCAUCAGGUAGAGAGAACUGACCUUGGCUUUGACAUCAGACUCAGUAUUUAAGACAUUUACUCAUUUGUGUUGUAGAGAUGUCACGGUAAAUACAUUAUAUCCGUUUAUACUGAACACUAAGAGGCUCCUUUUUCUACACCAUAGACAGCGAUUUGGCUGAGACUGUAUCAUUCUGUGAUACUAUCCCAACUACCUUUUUUCUCACUUGAAUUGUACUUUUGGCUGUCAUUUGCGCUUUUGAAUAAAGGUUUACAUUAGUAGAAGAUAUCAUAAUAGCCUAUCUCCUUUUCAUGAGUUGAUAUACAAAUCAAAAAGAAAGGAUAAGGCCAAGACUCCCUUUGUCCUUGGAAAAGUAUGCCAUCUGCAUUUAGCUUAUGAUAUUCAGCUGGGAACAAAAUUCUAGCAUAAGGAAGUCGUUAAUACAACCCUCAAGUUACACUGUAAAUUCAAAGUACUUUAAAUGCCUUAUAAUAGUCAAAGCCAGUAAA